UGGUUGUUGCUUAGAUCAAGC
rnacentral:siRNA from 1 species